rnacentral:rRNA from 1 species
CGCAUCUGUGCAUGCAGCAUAUCAAUAAGCGGAGGAAAAGAAACUAACAAGGAUUCCCUUAGUAACGGCGAGUGAAGCGGGAAGAGCUCAAAUUUGAAAUCUUCAAGGUUUUACCUUGACGAAUUGUAGUUUAAAGAAGUGUUUUCUGUUGAAGUUUUGGUAAAAGUUCUUUGGAAUAGGACAUCAUAGAGGGUGAGAAUCCCGUAUUUGACCAUUAUUUUCAGCUGUGUGAUACACUUUCAAAGAGUCGGAUUGUUUGGGAAUGCAGUCCAAAAUGGGUGGUAAAUUUCAUCUAAAGCUAAAUAUCGGCGAGAGACCGAUAGCGAACAAGUACCGUGAGGGAAAGAUGAAAAGAACUUUGAAAAGAGAGUUAAACAGUACGUGAAAUUGUCAAAAGGGAAGCGUUUGACACCAGUGUUGUUUUUCCGAAAAUCAAUUACGAAUGGCUUGAUCUGUGUUGUAUUGACCUUAUCAGCUUUCUUCACUUUUUUCGAGUCUUUCUUAAUGCACUUUUUGGUUAACAAGUCAACAUCAAUUUCUUUUGUUGUAAAAGAGUAUUCGGAAGGUGGCUUUCUUUUCGGAGAAAGUGUUUAUAGCCCUAUACUUCUACAAUCGGAGAGAUUGAGGUCUGCAGCGUAGAUCCUUCGGGGUUAGAUACACUUGUGCUAAGUUGUAGCUUUUCAUAGGCAACUCGUUGACUAUGUUUAGUCAUGCGGCUUACUCGCUUGUGCUAUUUUACCUACGCUUAGGAUGUUGAAGACUCUACAGAGAUA